rnacentral:rRNA from 1 species
AGUGAACGCUGGCGGCAGGCCUAACACAUGCAAGUCGAACGGCAGCACGGCAGUAGCAAUACUGUGGGUGGCGAGUGGCGGACGGGUGAGGAAUACAUCGGGAUCUACCCUGUUGUGGGGGAUAACGUAGGGAAACUUACGCUAAUACCGCAUAAGAACUGAGGUUGAAAGCGGCGGACCGCAAGGCGUCGCGCGAUUGGAUGAACCGAUGUCCGAUUAGCUAGUUGGCGGGGUAAAGGCCCACCAAGGCGACGAUCGGUAGCUGGUCUGAGAGGACGACCAGCCACACUGGAACUGAGACACGGUCCAGACUCCUACGGGAGGCAGCAGUGGGGAAUAUUGGACAAUGGGCGCAAGCCUGAUCCAGCCAUGCCGCGUGGGUGAAGAAGGCCUGG